UCGUCCUGCUCGUGAUCGUCUUCUCACCCUUCACGUGGCAGGCGGAUGGAGGAACGGCCCCCCGCGAGGACAGGACUCGCGGGGGGCCGUU
rnacentral:ncRNA from 1 species